GAGGCAGAGAGAGAGAAAGAUUGAUUUUUCUUCUUGGAGAAAGCACACACAAGCACGUGUUUUCCUGUGUGCGGGGAGAGACAGAGCAACAGGCAGGGCCGUGUGCACACACCCGUAACAUGUGCUACCUGGGGAGUGAGCAGGGAGGAACAAACCAACCCAAAUAAACAAAGAUGAUUUUGCAUUUCAGAAGGCAGAUCCUUAGCAAAUAAAACAGAGGCCGCGCGGCCUAGAGCUGGUCCUGAUAGAGAGGCAUCUUUCUACCCACACAGGAGAGCACGGCUCAGAGAGCAGUAGUUUUCCAUCCUGAAAAAAAAGAUACAUCUCCUCAUUCUGCUAGAGAGAGAGGAUUGGGCCUCACACACACAUACAGCUGUGUCUGUACAGACACAGCUACCUGCAAGUCUGGCCCUGCAGACCAGGCAGGUCAGAGUGUGUGGGUCUCCUGGUGCUAUUUAGAAAUCAGUGUGUUCUACCCAGAGGCAGAAGGUAGGGAGGGGGAGAAGCACUUUAUCUAGAGAGGCACUCACAUAUGCAUACACACUCACACACACAUAUGUACAUAUACUUUUUGAUAAACUGAAAAUGGCAAAAAUGUGUGUGUUUCAGCCCAAUUCAUUCUUGGUUAAAUAAAAAGAAUCAUUUCUGCCUAAAGACCCACCUGUGUGUGUGUGUGUGUGUGUGUGUGCAUGCUGUGAAAGAGAGACAGAGAUAAAAAAGAAACACAGAGAUUGAGAGAGAUGGAAAGAGACAGAGACAGAAAUAAGGAGGCGGAGACAGAGAGACACAGAAGAAACACAGAGACAGAGACAGGGAGAAAGACAGACACAGACAGAAAAACAGAGAUAAAAGAAAAACACAGAGAGAGAAAUAGAGAAAGAGAUAGAGGCAGAAAGAUAAAGAGAGAUAAAAAAGAGAUAGAGAGGCAGAGAUGGACACAGACAGAGAAACAGAGACAAAGACAGAAACAGAGACAGAGAGAAGGACAGAUGACAAAGAGAGAUGGAAAAAAGAGACAGACACAAAGACCGAAAUAGACACAGAGACAGAGACACAGAGAAAAACAGAAAGACAGAGACAGAGACAAAGAGACACAGAGAACAGAGACAGAGAAAGGCAGAAACAGCAAGGCAGAGACUGAAAGACAGAGAUGGAGAGACAGAAAGAAAUGGAGAGAGAGAGGUUUUUCUGCCUUCCGCCAACAGAGAGAAGUGGACAGGCUGCAGCUUUAGAAGGGAGGCCCAAGCAGGGAUGGGUGUGUGACCUACUUCCCAACACUGAACUGCAGAAGAAAAUCUGCUAGGAAGCUUCUGGAAGAGCUUAUCCCCAAGAAUAAAGAGAGAUUUAUAAAGAGAAAGAUCUUUGGCUUGUACCUCCUUCUUUCUUGUGUAGGAUACUAUGGUGUAAGCACAUGAUGCCUGGAGCUAUGGCAACCUUCUUGUGACUGUGAAGAUGGCAAGGCAGAAACAUGCAAAACACAGGAGCCC
rnacentral:lncRNA from 1 species